rnacentral:rRNA from 1 species
GUCCACGCCCUAAACGAUGUCGACUAGCUGUUGGGCUCAUAAAAGGGCUUAGUGGCGCAGCUAACGCGUUAAGUCGACCGCCUGGGGAGUACGGCCGCAAGGCUAAAACUCAAAGGAAUUGACGGGGGCCCGCACAAGCGGUGGAGCAUGUGGUUUAAUUCGAUGCAACGCGAAGAACCUUACCAGGUCUUGACAUCCUGAGAACUUUCUAGAGAUAGAUUGGUGCCUUCGGGAACUCAGAGA